UACAGAGGGUGCAAACGUUGUUCGGAAUUACUGGGCGUAAAGCGUGUGUAGGCGGCCUCGUAGGUCGGAUGUGAAAGCCCUCGGCUCAACCGGGGAAGUGCAUUCGAAACCACGAGGCUAGAGUGCCGUAGAGGAAGGCGGAAUUGUCGGUGUAGAGGUGAAAUUCGUAGAUAUCGACAGGAACACCUGCGGCGAAAGCGGCCUUCUGGACGGACACUGACGCUGAGACACGAAAGCGUGGGGAGCAAACAGG
rnacentral:rRNA from 1 species